UACGAAGGGGGCUAGCGUUGUUAGGAUUUACUGGGCGUAAAGGGCGCGUAGGCGGAUUUUUAAGUCGGGGGUGAAAUCCCGGAGCUCAACUCCGGAACUGCCUUCGAUACUGAAAGUCUGGAGCACGGUAGAGGUGAGUGGAAUUCCGAGUGUAGAGGUGAAAUUCGUAGAUAUUCGGAGGAACACCAGUGGCGAAGGCGGCUCACUGGACCGUUGCUGACGCUGAGUCGCGAAAGCGUGGGUAGCAAACAGG
rnacentral:rRNA from 1 species